UUAAGAUAACAGGUCUCUUUAAUAUAAGAGAUCCAAUUUUAGAGAUAGCGGGUCUCUUAUGAGUCAAAGGGUCCACUUAAAAUUGAAGGGAGAAAAAUAAGAGACCCGUUAUCUUAUUUAACGGAUCUCUAGUGUAUAAAAGGCUCUACUUUUUUCUCGUAGAAAAUAACCCGUUAUUUUAACUAAACAGCUCUCUUAUAUAUUACAUGGCCCACCGCUGUUUUGGAAAAAUAAAGUAAAUUAAAAAAAGAGACCCCUGGUUUAACAUAACGGGUCUCCAGCUUUCUGCUUUCCUUCAUUUUGUCCUCCGCGUGAACCCAAUUCACGCUAUUGUGUUUGCCUCUCUCUUCCCUUCAAUAUACAAGUUUAGGGAAACCAUUGGUGAACUCACCACUACCGGCGAAUUACACUACCAUCGUCGACUUGCAUACCACCGGCGACCUCACCAUCACCACCACUAGCGAAAUACAAAUUUAGGUUAUUCAUUUGCAUAUUGCGACUUUGAUGAACUGCUAUUUUUACGAACUGCUAGGCACCAUUCUUGGGAGUUUGGCCCUUGCUCUUCAUGACAAUGUACAAGCUAGAGAAAUUUGAGUUCUGCUUUGACAUUGGCGAAGAAACUUAAUGAUGGCCCAACACAGAUCUGGGUACUAUCAAUUCUGUCAGGUAUAUCUAGUGUUCUAGUCUCUCACUUUAUUAAACACGAUAUUUCUCACUUCAUUACAUUUAGAUAUUAGGAUUGAGGUAAGGCUUACACGAAUAAACCACACCUAAAUAUCAACUUUCACAAAAUAAAAAUAAAUAUCAAUUCACUGUGGCUGCUGCAAUGUCAAUGGUGGCAGUUGUAGCCGGUGCGACAUGCUUGCAGUCAUUAAUAAAAAAGAAGGAAACACAUAUAUCGUUGCUUUCACAAUAUCUUGACAUGUAACCCUUGCAGUUUUGAACUCAUUUAGGUUCCCCAAAGGUUUAUUAUGAGCGCUCAUAUGUCCGCCAACAUGUUUAUCAAAUAUAUAAACCCUGUUCCGAUUUUUGAAUCCCUUAUUAACAAAAUCAGUAACGCAGAGUAAUUGCAACAUUGGACGUCUGGACGGUUGAA